rnacentral:rRNA from 1 species
UUACCCGGUUGGAAUUAAGCAUAUCAGUAAGCGGAGGAAAAGAAACUAACCAGGAUUCUCCCAGUAACGGCGAGUGAACGGAGAUUAGCCCAUCACCGAAGGCUGGGUGCUUUUGUGCUCAAGCCAAUGUGGUGUUUAGGCGUGGCACCUGGGAGCCUACGUCUGCUGGAAGUCCAACUCCGAUUAUGGCCUUGGACAAUGCCCUUAGCGGGUGAAAGGCCCGUGCCGGCAGAUUGUUGAUUGGUGGCUCCUUAGACGUUCAUGCUAUCGAGUCGGAUUGCUUGAGAAUGCAGUCCAAAGUGGGUGGUAAACUCCAUCCAAGGCUAAAUACUGGCACGAGUCCGAUAGUAGACAAGUACCGUGAGGGAAAGUUGAAAAGUACUCUGAAGAGAGAGUAAAUAGUACGUGAAACCGAUUGCAGGGAAGCUGGUGGAGUCAAGCUUCACGCGAUUGAGAUUUCUGCCAGGUGUUCGUAGUGCCGAGUAUGAGAGUGAUUCAUGUGUAGAUUCAUGUGCCACAUUCGUGUGGUCUGAGUAGCACUGGGCAGUGUUAUUGUUGGUCACUCUCUAACCUCAUCGCUUGGCGGUCUAUCUCAUUUUGCGUACAUCACAGUCGAUAGCAUGAUGAUUGAUUGAUAUUCUAACUGUGUCUCAGUGGGUUUUCAUGACCUGCUGGAUGCAGGAUGGCAGGUGGUGACAUCCGUUAUUGCAACUCAUGUCGCUUAUGCUGAUCUCGAUCUGCUGAAUAUCAGGUGGUUUAAUCUAUCGCUAUCGUAUCUUCUUGAUGUUCAGUUGACAGACUGGCCAUUUGUAAGAACUGUGAUGCGAGAGAUCCCCCCC